rnacentral:rRNA from 1 species
GACGAACGCUGGCGGCGUGCUUAACACAUGCAAGUCGAACGGAAAGGCCCUGCUUGUGUGGGGUGCUCGAGUGGCGAACGGGUGAGUAACACGUGAGUAACCUGACCUAGACUUUGGGAUAACUUCAGGAAACUGGGGCUAAUACCGGAUAGGAGACCCUGCUGCAUGGUGGGGGUUGGAACGUUUCGGCGGUUGGGGAUGGACUCGCGGCUUAUCAGCUUGUUGGUGGGGUAGUGGCUUACCAAGGCUUUGACGGGUAGCCGGCCUGAGAGGGUGACCGGCCACAUUGGGACUGAGAUACGGCCCAGACUCCUACGGGAGGCAGCAGGGGGGAAUAUUGCACAGUGGGCGGAAGCCUGAUGCAGCAACGCCGCGUGCGGGAUGACGGCCUGCGGGUUGUAAACCGCUUUCGCCUGUUACGAAGCGUGAGUGACGGUAAUGGGUAAAGAAGCACCGGCUAACUACGUG